rnacentral:rRNA from 1 species
UACGUAGGGUGCGAGCGUUUGUCCGGAAUUAUUGGGCGUAAAGAGCUUGUAGGCGGUUUGUCGCGUCUGCUGUGAAAAUCCGGGGCUCAACCCCGGACUUGCAGUGGGUACGGGCAGACUAGAGUGUGGUAGGGGAGACUGGAAUUCCUGGUGUAGCGGUGAAAUGCGCAGAUAUCAGGAGGAACACCGGUGGCGAAGGCGGGUCUCUGGGCCAAAACUGACGCUGAGGAGCGAAAGCGUGGGGAGCGAACAGG